GGGGAUGAGAGGAGAGGAGUGGAGAGGAGCGGAGAGGAGCGGGGAGGAGGAGGAGAUGAUCGAGAGGAGAGGAGUGGAGCGGGGGGGAGGAGAGGAGAAAACAAUAGGUUACAUUAAAUGAGCGCUUCCGCUGGUUUAUCAAACCGGUCAAUGUUGAAUAAGGCCAGUGAAUCCAUAAAUUGGAUAUACUGUAUGUGAAAUAGCCAUGAAUCCUGUGACUUUUACAGUUUUAUUAUAAGGGCUGGGGAAAUCUAUGUUGCAAUACAUUACGUAUCAACCACUGUCUGCGCAUGCAUUACAUUAUUUUACAUCACAACUCUGAAUGCACACCCUCCACAAGCAUUACUAUUAGCAAUGAGAAAAGAAAGCGAGUUAAGGGCUAAUGCUAAGCUAGUCCCUGACUAGCUGAUAUGGUGAUCAAAUUUUAUUUGUCACAUACACGUGUUUAGCAGAUGUUAUUGCGUGUAGCGAAAUGCUUGAUGGUGAUUUGAUGAUGUUGUGCCAGUACAACACUGGCACUCUAGCAAGUUGAGAUUACAUUACAGUGAGCACUGAAUGUGAGUGUGUGUGUGUGUGUGUUAUCAACUGCGUGUGUAUGUCAUAUUACAUACAGUAUGAUUGGUGUGUGUUCAUAAAGGUGUGUCAGUGUAGGAGUAGGUACAAUUUUACACCAAAUGUAAUCCUGUUUGUUUUAACCCUUCAAAUGGUCACACAAAGUGUGUGUGUUUAUACAUACAGUACAGGGACAGUAUAUCUACGAGCACACAAGGUGUGAGCACCUGCAUGAGCAGAUAUGUAGCCACAGGGUGCUGCUAUGCUGGUGUGUAGGUUAUGGAGUGUAGGAUUGUACUGAGCUUCCAUCUCAUACAGAAUCAAACAUGCACGCGCACUCACAAACACACACAAAGUCAUUUUCAUUAUAAUGAACCUGACUUCUUCAACAAACAAACAAGUUUUCAUUUAUUUACAUAUGCCUGUAGGUUGCAAUAAUGAAUAUAGAAUGAACAAUAGCUCAUUGGAAAUAGUACAACGCUACAGUAAAACACAUGCGAGGAUAAUGUAGUUAUUCAGAUGAGCACCAGUGUUGUUUUAGGCCCCCCAGGUGUUUGCAGUGUUUUUCACUUUCUUCUGUUAGAUGCAGUGUGGGGGAACAACAUCGGUGUUCAUGGAGUUGCAAGAGUUGCAGUGCUUCUCCACUGAGGAGAGUGUGUGAAGUCCUCACAAGGAUAGUAAAAAAAAGGACAAUUCAGACAAAUGGGGACAUUUUGCCGGUCCCCAAAAUGAAAAAGGCAAUUUUAGGCUUAGGCGUUAGUCUUAAGGUUACAAUUAGGGUUAGAAUUAGGGUAAGGGAUUUGGGGGUUAGGGUUAGGUUUAAUAGGGUUAAGGGUUAGGGAAAAUAGGAUUUUGAACGGGAAUCAACUGUUUGGCCCCCACGAGGAUGGUGUGGUUCGUGUUGUGCUGUGUUUUUGCCAUUUUCAAAGUGUUCCCUGAUCCACUGAAGUGUUGAAUACAUCUAAGAACAGACAUACUCCUCCUCUCUCUUUUCUUUCAUGUCUCUCCAUAUCCCUUGCCUUCCUUCGGGGAGUUAGCUAUCACUUCAUGUCAUUCAGCAUGAAUUACUGUGUCUUUGGACGGCCAUUCAUCUCUUGUCUAUCUGCUUUAUCUCUCCAUCCCGUGUAUUACCUGACCAUAAAUUGAUCAGAGAGAUCAAGAGCUGGAUUUACAGCUGUUAAGCUCCCCAUAACUUGCCCCUGGAUUCUAUUUUAAAUGCAAAAUAUCCUCCCUUUUGAGAGCGUAUUAUAUUAUAUUAAUACUAUUCACUCUACAUUUGUAAGUGGGAGAGAGAGACCGUGUGGAUGCUUGUGCAAUAGAGAGUUCAAAUGUGUGUGUAUGUGCGUGUGAGAUAUGGUUAUUAAAUAGGGUUAAGCGAUGGAGGUUCACCCACUCCGUUUGCCCGGUGUUACCAGGGGGUCUUUUCUCCUUCCAUAUUUCCCUCCUUCUCUCCCCAGUCAGUACACACUGAGAGAGAGAGAGAUAACUGCAGUGUAGGUCAUCUGGAGUCCUGGAGGACUCAAAGGAGAGGGGGGCAACUAACUCUUGCCCACUCGGCCACACUUUGAAGUUUCACUUCCUCUUCUGAUCCGUCUCCCAAACACAACUCCCCUUCAACCCUUAUCUCUGUGUACCGCCUACAGGUACUGUAGCAAAGUGUGAAAAUGUGUCCAUUCCCUCUGUCUCUGUGUGUGUGCGCUUGUGAGUGAGGAGAGGAAAACAUCGAGACGCCAAAUCAAUGAGAACUAGUCGUUGGGCAGAAAGGAAGACACUUCAUUAAAAGAUGCAACACAGGUUAUACAGUAUAUCUACGAGAGUGUUAAACAACUUAGCAAAUGUGUUUUGUCAGACCUUUUACUUUUAAAAACGUUUUGCCAUGUUUGUUUGUGAUCGGAGUUGCUGUUGCAUGUGUCUGUGUGUGUUACUUUGGGGUGUAGUCCUUCUUCCCACAUCUGCAAUGCAGCAGAAAAGAGACACAAAAUUGAAAGAGAAAAGCUCACAGGCUUUGACAAAAGAACUAAGUCAAGGUCCCGUUCUCAGAUAUUUUGUUUCUGAAGCUGCUUGACAAAAUAGUUUUCUAUUGAGGCCCUGACCCAACCCAGCCCUGAGUUUAAUGCUAAAAUACCUCUGGCCAGUAUCUCCAAUCUCUGUUAGUCCUCAGAGUAGUGCUGCAUUUUAAAGGUACAGUCCUGUCCUGAAGCACAUCUGCAAUGCACACACAGCACUUCUGCAUGUCGGGCUGGGCCGGCGCAGAUGUGAAUCACAGAGGUCACCUUUAAAAUAGGAGCUAAGCUGGGGAGCUGCCCCACCACUGAGGUACUGCAUACUGUUUGUCUCAAUGGGCUUUUUCUGGUUAAAUAAAUAAAUACCAGGCCUGGGUUCAAUAGUAUUUGGAAUCAUUACAAAUACUUCAUGUGGGCUUGAUUGAGCUGUCCUGGCACAAUGGAAGUAAUAGAAUACCGGCAAGAAUGCAAACCCUACCCUUAUGGCACUGCAGGCAGACUAGGGCAAACAAAUGCUAUUUGAAUAGUAUUUGAGCCUAGGCCUGCUGCACAGUAACUACUAUGGUCUGAUGGUAUGCUGAAAAUGUAUUACUGUUUUUUAAAGUGGGAUCUUGUUGGUGAAGACUGAGAUUGAUUGUUAUUUGAUUGUCAUGGCGGUAUGUUGUUGGGGUUAUUGUGACUGUUGUAAAGAAUGUACUUUUGGGAGAUUCUGUCCAUAGCAUUGGAGUUGUUUAAUGUAUAUAUCUUAGUUGGUCCAUCCAUGUAUGUUUCUUUCUUGAUUUGAUCAUGACUGGUUUCAAAUCGGACUCUGAUAUGUACCGCCAACCCAACACUGAACCCCAACUCAACAAUGUAAACAAAAAGGCAAAGAGUAAAGUGAAAUAUUAGUGAGUGAUUGUGUCUAAAGACGGAAGGAUAUUCAUCUUUUGGCUACUAUGUCUUCCGGAGCCCUAGUACCCCUCACCAUGGAUACAGACCUGUCAAUCAAACUGGAUGACCUCUGACCUAUGAACCUUGAGAGGAAUCUAAUUGGCUCGCCAGCAGCAUGCAGACUGCUCAUUCACUGUCUCUCUCUAUCUCUCUCUCACACACACACACACACACACACACACCACACACACACACCGUAUAACCCACGUGUGUGAUUCUGCCAUUGAUAAAAGGGGUCUGCUUCGUACAUUGGAGCCCCCUACAGUUUUGUAUUGCAUGGAUGAUCCAAGUUAUUGUGAUGAUGAUGACUAUGAUGAUGAUGAUGAAGUCUUCCAAAAAGGGAUUUUACGAAAUUCUCCAUAUUACUUGUUUCAUGUCUUCCAAUGAAAAAUCAGUACUUCAGUCUUCCAGCUAACAACAAAACCACGAUGACACUAUUUUUGUACCAAAACAAUGGGACUAUCAUAUCCAUGGAAACGUGGCGGGGGGGGCAGAUGUGCAUCGCAGUGUGCCCCCUGUUGCACACAAAGAGGACAACAACACCAUACCAUCUAAAAGCAAAACACCGAACCAUGUAUCACCGAAAAAACAGAGAAUGGGACAAUAAAGGAAUAAAGCUCUAUCUAAGGCUGUUUUGAGCACUAUAGCCUACGGCAGUGGAGAGAGUCACAGAUGGACUGUACUACAAGCAUGCAUGCGUCCAACAUUUACAGGAUACAUCAAAAAAGAAAGACAAGGAGUCCUAUAUUUACUCCCCCUCUCCCUUCCCCCAAUACACACUCUACUACUCCUUGAACCCUUGUCUUCUCUGCUUUUGCAAUAUGAUCUGUAUUCAUUUCUAUAAUAACUUACACAAAGUCAAGGGAGACAUGUUAUUGGAUAUAAUUGAAUAAAAUCGAAUAUAUUUGUAUGAUUGUAAAAAAAAAACUGGUCUCGUGUCUUUGAAUUGUGUACUGCGCUUUCUUCCAUAGCCUGCUUGUUACAAAUAGGCCUAUGCAAAUAAACAAGAUUAUUCUGAUUUUUCAAGGUUUUUACUGUGUUCACCAAUAACUAAU
ensembl:lncRNA